rnacentral:rRNA from 1 species
GAUGAACGCUAGCGGCAGGCCUAACACAUGCAAGUCGAGGGGCAGCACAAAUGAAGCUUGCUUUAUUGGUGGCAACCGGCGCACGGGUGCGUAACGCGUAUGCAACCUACCCUGUACUGGGGUAUACCCCGGAAAAAUUCGAAUUAAUCCCCCAUAGUAUUAUUGAAUCGCAUGAUUUGAUACUUAAAGGUUACGGUACAGGAUGGGCAUGCGUCCUAUUAGCUAGAUGGUAAGGUAACGGCUUACCAUGGCAACAAUAGGUAGGGGGCCUGAAAGGGUGGCCCCCCACACUGGUACUGAAACACGGACCAAACUCCUACGGGAGGCAGCAGUGAGGAAUAUUGGUCAAUGGGCGCAAGCCUGAACCACCCAUGCCGCGUGCAGGAAAACGGUCCUAUGGAUUGUAAACUGCUUUUAUUUGGAAAUAAACCUCUUUACGUGUAGAGAGCUGAAGGUACCAAAUGAAUAAGCACCGGCUAACUCCGUG